UACGUAGGGUGCAAGCGUUAAUCGGAAUUACUGGGCGUAAAGCGUGCGCAGGCGGUUAUGUAAGACAGUUGUUAAAUCCCCGGGCUCAACCUGGGAACUGCAUCUGUGACUGCAUAGCUAGAGUACGGUAGAGGGGGAUGGAAUUCCGCGUGUAGCAGUGAAAUGCGUAGAUAUGCGGAGGAACACCGAUGGCGAAGGCAAUCCCCUGGAACUGUACUGACGCUCAUGCACGAAAGCCUGGGGAGCAAACAGG
rnacentral:rRNA from 1 species